GAUGAAGAACGUAGCGAAAUGCGAUACUUGGUGUGAAUUGCAGAAUCCCGUGAACCAUCGAGUCUUUGAACGCAAGUUGCGCCUCAAGCCAUUAGGUUGAGGGCACGUCUGCCUGGGCGUCACAUAUCGUUGCCUGAUGCCAGUUUCCUCGUGAUGGGUGACUGUGCAGGGCGAAUGAUGGCUUCCCGUGAGCAUUGUUGCCUCAUGGUUGGUUGAAAAUUGAGUCCUUGGUAGGGAGCGCCGUGAUAGAUGGUGGUUGAGUGACGAACGAGACCCAAUCAUGUGAGACCCCUACCGAAUUUGGCCUUCAUGACCCACAUGCGUCUGUGGAACGCUCAUGACGAGACCUCAGGUCAGGCGGGGCUACCCGCUGAGUUUAAGCAUAUCAAUAAGCGGAGGA
rnacentral:misc_RNA from 1 species